rnacentral:rRNA from 1 species
CCUACGGGUGGCAGCAGUGGGGAAUUUUCCGCAAUGGGCGCAAGCCUGACGGAGCAAGACCGCGUGAGGGAGGAAGGCCCAAGCGGUUGUAAACCUCUUUUCUCAGGGAAGAAGAAAGUGACGGUACCUGAGGAAUCAGCCUCGGCUAACUCCGUGCCAGCAGCCGCGGUAAUACGGAGGAGGCAAGCGUUAUCCGGAAUUAUUGGGCGUAAAGCGUCCGUAGGUGGUUAUGUAAGUCUGCUGUCAAAGAGCAAAGCUUAACUUUGUAAAAGCAGUGGAAACUACACAGCUAGAGUGCGUUCGGGGCAGAAGGAAUUCCUGGUGUAGCGGUGAAAUGCGUAGAGAUCAGGAAGAACACCGGUGGCGAAGGCGUUCUGCUAGGCCGCAACUGACACUGAGGGACGAAAGCUAGGGGAGCGAAUGGGAUUAGAUACCCGAGU